CUCAGGAGGCCCCAGGGGACCUGAAGCCUGGGGGCCCUGCUCUCUCCACCCUGUGGCUGGACCACCUCGCCGUGGUCCCACAACCAGUACAUUACCCCUGUAGGGUUCUGUGAUUGACACAAAGGACACUGGAAUAGUUCAGUCAUGCUGAAGGAUGUGGGCCCCAUUCCAAAGGCAGUAGGAGCCAUUGAAGGAUUUUCAGUAGAAGAGAGACACCUGUUCCAAUUUGUGUUUUGGAAAAAAUUCUGCAGACAAUGUGGGGGUGUCUAAGAGAGAGGAAAACUGGGGUGGGAAUGAUAGAAGGUAAAAGAAGACCCCUGAAUGUGGGUACACAUGUUUACAGGGACAAGCAUCCCUCUCCCUGCCCCCAUGGCUCCUUCCACUUGAAGGCUCAGGGUCCAUACAGCACAAGCAGAGUUAGGCCUCCUGCACUAAACAUCCUCCAGCCAAGACUUGCUGUCCACAGCCAGCUCACUCACUAAGGCUGCCGUAUUAAUGCAGUAGUUUCUCAGGUCCUGGGCCUCAGACAUGAUCAUGACAUGUACUUGUAGGACAGCAGCACUCAUGUACAGAAUGCCAGUGGUCCCGUGGUACAGGCUGUCAUGGAAAUGCAGAGCAGAGCCACAUAUGGCCAUGUCACUCAGGUGACCACAGGCUUCAUAAAGCCUAAAAAACUUCAGACUGAGAGGAAAAGACCCCAGUCAAGAUGGGUGCGGCUGUUGUCAUCAGCACACAGUGGUGAACCUGGAGCUGUGAAAUGGAGGAGGAGAAAGAGGAAAGGAGCCUGCAUCCCAGAUGACACGACCGAGCUGCUGACCCAGAUCGCAGGACACGAGAUAGUGCAUUUCCCUUCUGUUAAGUAAUUUCUGUAGUUACCGAAUCUGGAAGGAAAACUAAGAGGCCACCAGGCAGGCCGUGUGAUGGAAGGAGUGAGGGGAGAAGGAGCAUCCAUGCAGAGGGAACAGCAUGUGCAAAGAUGAGGGUCAGUGAGGACGUGGUUUGUACAGUUUCAAGGCACAGCAACUGUCGGUUGUGAGAGAUGCUUCUGCUACCACUUCUAUUGCUCACGGCAAGGCAAAAUGUCAGUCUAGAUUCAAGGAGGUGGAGAAAUAGAUUCCACUUCCUGAUGAGAGAAGAAUGAAUGCAGAGUUUGCAACUCGUCUGUUAAAGGGAAUGACAAAGAUGCAAGAAGAGUUAAACUAAAGUUCAUUCAGCUGGCAGUAUCCAAUCCA
rnacentral:lncRNA from 1 species